CGCAGGAAGAGCGGGUGAUGCUGGCCAUUGUUCAGGAGAAGGGGCUUCUGUCGGCCAUCGAUGGGAGAAAAGUGCGCAACGUGCAGGAGAUCCAGUUGUCAUCUUCCGUGGCCAAGGGAUCGCGCCCCUCCUCAACACCGACGACACGUCGACCAUCGCCGAAGACGUGCCGUUUCUGGGGGAGGGUGACGAUGAUGCCAUCGUCUCAGAAGUGAUUAGCCGACCCGCGUCACUGGAGUCGCUCCCAACUGCCUUCGUCCCAUCGUCGCCUCGGAGUUCGUCCACUGCACCCAGUUCCCGCUCUUCCAUAUCUCUGCCCCCAUCACACUCCGGCAUUUCCACAUCCCAGGCUUCCAUCUCACCGCGGCCCGUCCACACCACAUCCCGGCUCGUCCACCCCGAUCCGCGGCCCACCCCGAUCAACUAACACCUCAGCCCACGCCCCAGCCUGGCCCAUCAACGUCUCAUCCCGGUCCAUCCACACCUCGCCCCGGCCCAUCCACGUCUCGUCCCAGCCCAUCCAUGUUUCGCCCGGCCCAUCCGCGCCUCAUCCCGGCCCAUCCGCACCUCAUCCCGGCCCAUCCGCGCCUCAUCCCGGCCCACCCGCACCUCGUCCCAGCUCUCAGCCCGUGCCUCAUGAUCCGGCUCCUUCAUCAUCCUCAUCAUCUGGCUCUGGUCGCUCCUCUGAGCCAACGGACAUCCAGCCCCGCCAGCGCCACCCGACAAGACUUCAAACGCCUGUCAGCCCCUCCAGCCUGUUGGGCGGCGACGAUGGUUUGAGUGGCACCCCCGGGCCGCUCAACAGCGUCAGGCCCGUCGCCGAGCCGCGUACUCCCACCGUGACAGGAUGGUGGCCUCCUUGGAACGGGGCGAAGAGCGAGCCGCAAGGAGGGAGGAGGCGCGUGACGUCAGGGAGGACACUUUUAAGGAGGCCCUGCUUGAGGGGAUGCGGGCAGGCCGGACAUUGCUGAGAGAGGCCGUAUGUGCCAUGCAGGCUAUCGCCGCCACUUUCCGCUGGCCAGAGCACGAGCGCCGCCGUGGCCGAUCGCGCUCCUGCUCGCCACGCUGAGGCAUCAUUUCGGUACAACCGCCAUGUAUCGGGCGAAGAGUAGGACGGUUACAGCGGUCCUUGCUUCCGAAAGUGCCACGCGGGAAUAUACGUUGUUUAAUUA